AGUGAACGCUGGCGGUAGGCCUAACACAUGCAAGUCGAACGGCAGCACAGUAAGAGCUUGCUCUUACGGGUGGCGAGUGGCGGACGGGUGAGGAAUACAUCGGAAUCUACUUUUUCGUGGGGGAUAACGUAGGGAAACUUACGCUAAUACCGCAUACGACCUACGGGUGAAAGCAGGGGAUCUUCGGACCUUGCGCGAGUGAAUGAGCCGAUGUCGGAUUAGCUAGUUGGCGGGGUAAAGGCCCACCAAGGCGACGAUCCGUAGCUGGUCUGAGAGGAUGAUCAGCCACACUGGAACUGAGACACGGUCCAGACUCCUACGGGAGGCAGCAGUGGGGAAUAUUGGACGAUGGGCGCAAGCCUGAUCCAGCCAUACCGCGUGGGUGAAGAAGGCCUUCGGGUUGUAAAGCCCUUUUGUUGUGAAAGAAAAGCAGCAGGUUAAUACCCCGCUGUUCUGACGGUACCCAAAGAAUAAGCACCGGCUAACUUCGUG
rnacentral:rRNA from 1 species